UGUCUGUCUAUCAUAUUAUCCUUUCUCUCUUUCACUCCCCUCCAUGCCACCAUUUUUAUCCUCUCCCCUAUCCCUCUCUCUCUCUCUCUCUCUGCAUGCCCCCCCCACACCUCUCCUCUUCUCCCCUCUCUCCCAGAUGCCCCUAAGAACACGUCUGUGUUUGCGCAGCCCUCCAGUGUGAUCGACGCGGGCCGUCCUCUGACUCUGACCUGCAGCAGCCAGGCCAACCCGGCGGUGGACAACUACACGUGGUUCAGGAUCAAUGCGGCUGACGCCUGGGUAACGCGAUCGGGCCCAAGCUACACCUUCGCUGAGGUCAGCCCCGGGGAGAGCGGCCAGUACUACUGCGAGGCACGCAACCGUAUCGGCGUCCACAGCUCGCCUGUCCUCACUGUCAGGGUCAGAGGCAGACUGAAGGUUAUCGCCCUGGCCUCAGCUGUGGGCGUGUCUGCUGGUCUCAUCACUCUCACUGUGGCCGUCAUGAUCAGGUGACGCACUACACCUUUCAACACUAUGAUGGUCUAUGGAAGGCAGGGGACCUCAGGAACAUUGGCCCGAAUCAGUGUUACUAGACACUUCAUUUGAUUGUGGAAAUCAAUAUGUUGUAUCUAUCUGCCUUCUUCACAGCAAAAACAUGCACAGAGUAGACAUGGAAUAUCCAGAGGAAAACAAGAAGAGGCCAUCGGUGACAGCUGACACCCUGUUCUACGAGUCAGUCCAGCAGACCCUUCAGUUGAGGACUGGCAAGAUGUCUGACAUCCCGGUAGGUUAA
rnacentral:lncRNA from 1 species